rnacentral:misc_RNA from 1 species
GCAAACUUGGUCAUUUAGAGGAAGUAAAAGUCGUAACAAGGUUUCCGUAGGGUAAGUUCGAGCCAUCCCUCUCCCGCCGGAGCCUCAGCUAACGUGUUUCCAGUGAACCUGCGGAAGGAUCAUUACCGUGAGGCGGCAUGGCAUCCCCAUGCCCGCUGAACCCUUCGUGUACCAUCUGGUUGCUUCGGCGGGCCGUCCGGUCCCCCGGCCGUCGGCCCUCGCGUCGGCGUGCGCCCGUCGGAAGACCGCAAACCUCUUCUUCUGGAGUGACGUCCGAGCCCUGAUAGAAUUGACCAAAACUUUCAACAACGGAUCUCUUGGUUCCGGCAUCGAUGAAGAACGCAGC